UCACUCUAAAUAAAUACGUUUGAGUGUGUGUAGUCUUACGUGUGUGCGAGGAAACACUCAAAAAAACCAAUGUUGAAGGAAGAGAGCUGUGAGGUUUUGGAUUUGGACGUUACCAUUGGGAGCAGCAGCGGCAGCAGAAGUGGCAACAAGCAGAACUGGGCUCGGGUCUGCGACAUAUGCCGUUCCGCGGCAUGCAGCGUUUACUGCCGGGCGGACUUGGCUUACCUCUGCGGCGGCUGCGACGCCCGCGUGCAUGGCGCCAACACCGUGGCGGGGAGACACGAGCGCGUGCUGGUUUGUGAGGCGUGCGAGAGCGCUCCGGCCACGGUCAUAUGUAAGGCGGAUGCGGCGUCGCUUUGUGCGGCCUGCGACUCGGAUAUCCACUCCGCCAACCCGCUGGCACGCCGCCACCACCGUGUCCCGAUUCUGCCCAUUUCAGGCACCCUUUAUGGGCCUCCCACCAGUAACCCCUGCAGGGAGAGUUCCAUGAUGGUUGGGCUGACGGGAGAUGCGGCGGAGGAGGACAAUGGGUUCUUGACUCAGGAUGCAGAGGAAACUACCAUGGAUGAAGAUGAAGACGAGGCGGCUUCUUGGCUGCUGCUUAAUCCUAAUCCCAAUCCCAAUCCUAAUCCUGUUAAGAGCAACAACAGUACAAACAUGUGUAAAGGAGGCAACAAUAACAAUAACGAGAUGUCAUGCGCAGUAGAGGCUGUGGAUGCUUACUUGGACCUUGCUGAGUUUAGUUCAUGCCACAACAACCUGUUUGAGGACAAGUAUAGCAUAAAUCAGCAGCAGAAUUACUCUGUUCCUCAGAGGAAUAUGAGCUAUAGAGGGGAUAGCAUCGUCCCCAAUCACGGGAAAAAUCAAUUCCAUUAUACACAGGGACUGCAGCAGCAUAACCACCACGCAAUUUUCAACUGCAAGGAAUGGAAUAUGAGAAUUUUAACACGGGAUAUGGUUAUCCAGCAUCCAUCAGUCACACAGUCUCCAUUUCUUCCAUGGAUGUUGGUGUUGUUCCAGAGUCUACCUUGAGUGAUACCUCAAUCUCCCACUCAAGAGCCUCGAAAGGAACAAUUGACCUCUUCUCAGGUCCUCCAAUUCAGAUGCCUCCACAGCUUCAGCUUAGUCAAAUGGACAGGGAGGCCAGAGUUCUCAGGUACAGGGAGAAGAAGAAGACCCGCAAGUUUGAGAAGACCAUCCGGUACGCCUCAAGAAAGGCCUAUGCAGAAACCAGGCCAAGAAUAAAAGGUCGAUUUGCAAAGAGAACAGAUGUAGAUACCGAGGUUGAUCAGAUCUUCUAUGCACCAUUGAUGGCAGAAAGUGGAUACGGAAUUGUUCCAUCAUUCUGAAUCCAAAAACAGAGACAAUCUUUAGAGCUACUUCAAUUAGUGUAUUCUUAGAGUUACUUCAAUUAGUGUAUUCUUAAGCAUAACAGGUUGUUUCAAUAAUGAGAUAAGCCCAUUAACUAUUCCAGCUAUCGAUCUUGUUGUAAUUACCUGCAUAUAUGAAUAUAUUCAUUCUGUGACCUUUAAA